ensembl:lncRNA
AACGAAGUUAAUUGUUAUUCUUUCUCUAGGGUAACUGUCAGGCCCUAACACGGUGCUCCUGUUGCUGUUCCCUGAGAUAAUGGAGACAGGAUCUCAGGAGUUCAUCAUAGAAUAAUGGAAUGGCCUGAGCUGAAAAGGACCACAAUGAUCAUCCAGGUUCAAACCCCGUGCUAUGUACAGGGUUGCCAACCACCAGACCAGACCGUCCAGAGCCACAUCCAGCCUGGCCUUGAAUGCCUCCAGGGAUGGGGCAUCCACAACCUCCUUGGGCAACCUGUUCUGUUUUAGGUAUGUAACCUGAUUCACACCGAAAUGUUUUCAAGACAUUUGUUUAUGACUGAA